UCAGUUUCGAGUGCUUUUAGUUAAUUGGCUGGGUAAUCCUACCUGGGGCUAUAUUUAGGCCAGGUGGCUGCUACCUGUGGCACCCCCUCUGUUGUUCUCACCCCCUUCCUUGGUGUGCUGCUUUGCGAGGGCUGCAGCUUGGUGUGGCUUGGUGUGGCUGGGAAUUCUCACAAGCGUGCGAGCUGAGACUUGUGAGGUGAGAUUGUUCCGGUGGUUUAUGCCAUGCUCAAAGGUUCCAGUCAGUGUGUGAAAUACACUGGAAGCAUUGUGACUUUCCCUGCUGUCUGACGUGGAGAAGUGAAGCCUUGGAGCAGUGAGCGGUGACAGGCUGCUGAGGUGGUAAAGUCUAACUGGGGUUUUCUAAGUGGUGUUUGUGUGCUGUGUAUUGGGGACUCCUCUCGCCUGCAGUCAGCACUGUUCAGUGUGCUCCAGCCCGGUUCAGGUUUUGUUUUUUGGUUGUUUGUGUGAUUGUGUUUUUUUUUAUUAUUAUUUCUUUUUUUGUUAAUUAAAUUUAUUUUGAAUUAUUGUGAUUUUUGUUAAAAUAUAAUUAUUAAAAUUUGAAUUUUAAAUAGAA